AACGAACGCUGGCGGCAUGCCUAACACAUGCAAGUCGAACGAGACCUUCGGGUCUAGUGGCGCACGGGUGCGUAACGCGUGGGAACCUGCCCUUAGGUUCGGAAUAACUCCCCGAAAGGGGUGCUAAUACCGGAUUAUGUCUUCGGACCAAAGAUUUAUCGCCUUUGGAUGGGCCCGCGUUGGAUUAGCUAGUUGGUAGGGUAAAAGCCUACCAAGGCGACGAUCCACAGCUGGUCUGAGAGGAUGAUCAGCCACACUGGGACUGAGACACGGCCCAGACUCCUACGGGAGGCAGCAGUGGGGAAUAUUGGACAAUGGGCGAAAGCCUGAUCCAGCAAUGCCGCGUGAGUGAUGAAGGCCUUAGGGUUGUAAAGCUCUUUUACCCGGGAUGAUAAUGACAGUACCGGGAGAAUAAGCUCCGGCUAACUCCGUG
rnacentral:rRNA from 1 species